AAUAUCUCUGCUUUUAUUUUCGUUCACAAAUAUUCGCAACUUUUUUUAGAGGAAGUGUUUUGCAUCACUAUGAGGGCCGUUUUCACCUAUUUUCUUGCAACAGUAUUAAGAGAAAUAAUAAAAAAGCGACUUAUACAACACAAAAAUGAGGCUACCCCGUUAUCAGUCUGCUUGUCAGGAUUUUGGAAUUAUAUUAGGUCGUGCAAAGUUUGAAGCUUGAUGACAUCCUCUCAAAAAUUUGCAAGUAAACUAAAUCACACAUGAAAUUUAUAUUGUAAAAUAAGCACUUCUUUAUCAAUGAUUUAAUGGUAUGUAGGUGUAUCGACAGUUUUAACAUUUUAACCUUACCCAGUUACACGUU